CAGCAGCCACGGUAAUACAGAGGGUGCGAGCGUUAAUCGGAUUUACUGGGCGUAAAGCGUGCGUAGGCGGCUAAUUGAGUCGGAUGUGAAAUCCCUGAGCUUAACUUAGGAAUUGCAUUCGAUACUGGGAAGCUAGAGUAUGGGAGAGGAUGGUAGAAUUCCAGGUGUAGCGGUGAAAUGCGUAGAGAUCUGGAGGAAUACCGAUGGCGAAGGCAGCCAUCUGGCCUAAUACUGACGCUGAGGUACGAAAGCAUGGGGAGCAAACAGGAUUAGAUACCCCCGUAGUCCCUGUCUCUUAUAC
rnacentral:rRNA from 1 species